AAACCCCGUCUCAGUUCGGAUUGGAGUCUGCAACUCGACUCCAUGAAGCUGGAUUCGCUAGUAAUCGCGCAUCAGCCAUGGCGCGGUGAAUACGUUCCCGGGCCUUGUACACACCGCCCGUCAAGCCAUGGAAGCCGGGGGUGCCUGAAGUGCGUGACCGCAAGGAGCGCCCUAAGGUAAAACCGGUGACUGGGGCUAAGUCGUAACAAGGUAAC
rnacentral:rRNA from 1 species